rnacentral:lncRNA from 1 species
UUCUUUUUUCAUUGUUCUUCUUCCUUCUUUUUCUCAUUCUUCAUAAAUCUCUUGAAGUUCUUUACUAUGAGAGUCGUGUCACUAUCUAAGUCAGAUUCUUCAGCUUGAAGUGUCAGACUCUUGUGUUUCUUUUCUCCUUCUUCAUCUAUGGUAAGUCUUUUUAGUUUCAUUUCAUGUUCCUACAGUUUUACAAAUAGAGUGUGUGUAUCCAUAGUCACCAAAUCCCUAGAUUCCCCAUAGUUCUAUAUGACUCACGAUGUGGGUAAAUCGU